CCUACGGGAGGCAGCAGUGGGGAAUUUUGGACAAUGGGCGCAAGCCUGAUCCAGCAAUGCCGCGUGCAGGAAGAAGGCCUUCGGGUUGUAAACUGCUUUUGUCAGGGAAGAAAUCUUCUGGGUUAAUACCUCGGGAGGAUGACGGUACCUGAAGAAUAAGCACCGGCUAACUACGUGCCAGCAGCCGCGGUAAU
rnacentral:rRNA from 2 species